rnacentral:lncRNA from 1 species
CAAGAAAUCAAUUUUUAGUAAAAACAAAAAGAAAAUUUUAUUUUGGACACUUUUGACCAUAGUUAGCAAAAAACCACAACCACUGAAUUACCAAUGAUUACCGGCUCCUGACUUGGGAUAGGCACACACAGAAUGUGGCUAUGUAGGAUGGUGCCAAACCCUCCCCUAACCUGGGACAGUGGUGCAAAAAGAAAAAUAAUAAAAAAACAGAACUCUGAGGAAAUUUCAAAACAGAAAGUCUCAAAUCAAAUGACAAACCAAAAGCUCAAACACAUUAAACAAAUAGAUAACAACUGUCAUUUAUCUGCCUAGGUACAGGCAUUUUCUUGUGUAGAAAAUGGUGGAUAAAACCUGGUUUUAUAGCAAAGACAUGAACACACUAUACAAAACAAUAAAUAAAAAAAUAUAUGAUACAGCAAC